rnacentral:lncRNA from 1 species
CCCAAUCGGGAACCUGUUCGGCGCCGUGAACGGUCCCAAGUACGACGGCAAGUUCCUGCACGACAAGAUCAAGAGCCUCACCCACGACGUCACCAUCGCCCAGACCGUCACCAACAUCAUCGUCCCCACCUUCGACAUCAAGUUCCUGCAACCCGUCAUCUUCAACACGUACGAGGCCAGGGUGGACCCGCUCAAGAACGCGCACCUCUCCGACAUCUGCAUCAGCACCUCCGCCGCGCCCACCUACUUCCCCGCGCACUACUUCACCACCCACGACCCCGCCGGGAACCUCUCCGACCGCGAGUACCACCUCAUCGACGGCGGCGUGGCCGCCAACAACCCCACCAUGGCCGCCAUGUCCAUGAUCACCAAGGAGGUGCUGCGCCGCAAC